rnacentral:rRNA from 1 species
GAUGAACGCUGGCGGCGUGCCUAAUACAUGCAAGUCGAGCGAACAGACGAGGAGCUUGCUCCUCUGACGUUAGCGGCGGACGGGUGAGUAACACGUGGAUAACCUACCUAUAAGACUGGGAUAACUUCGGGAACCCGGAGCUAAUACCGGAUAAUAUAUUGAACCGCAUGGUUCAAUAGUGAAAGACGGUUUUGCUGUCACUUAUAGAUGGUUCCGGGCCGCAUUAGCUAGUUGGUAAGGUAACGGCUUACCAAGGCAACGAUGCGUAGCUGACCUGAGAGGAUGAUCGGCCACACUGGAACUGAGACACGGUCCAGACUCCUACGGGAGGCAGCAGUAGGGAAUCUUCCGCAAUGGGCGAAAGCCUGACGGAGCAACGCCGCGUGAAUGAUGAAGGUCUUCGGAUCGUAAAACUCUGUUAUUAGGGAAGAACAAAUGUGUAAGUAACUAUGCACGUCUUGACGGUACCUAAUGAGAAAGCAACGGCUAACUACGUG